rnacentral:lncRNA from 1 species
GUUUAAAAGACCUUCCUGUGGGGCUUUUGAGUCAUAGUUUUGUUUUAGGAAUUAUCUUAUAACUCUCCUAAGCUGGACCUUAAAACUUGAACUUGAAGCUCACUUAGAUUUCUCCUGGAAGACUUUGAGUUGAUGGAAACCAUGGCGUUGUGGAGGGCAUGAACUGAUUUAUCAUGCUGAGAUUCGUUCAUUUUUUUACCUAAAGGGACAUAGGAAAGCAGUUUCUUCCAGAUUUCUGUUGCUUCUUUAUAUGACACAUUCUCAGUGAAUUUGAAAACCUAAUUGGAGCAAUCCUAGUCCAAGGACAUUGGAAGAAGAGGACUGGUCAGAACUGGACUCCUGAAACUCCAGCUCCAUUAUGUAGCUUUCCACACUGGCCCAUCAUCCUAAGUGUCUACCUAUCUAGAGAAGCACUGCCAUGGCCCAGGUUUGAGUUAUGGAUUCAAGGUACCAUGGUUCCUAUUGGAGUCUAAAGCACCAGCUUCAUUUUUAAAGGCCCAGUCCUAGUUAAGCAACUGCAGGUAAACCAUCUUUCUGUC